UACGAAGGGGGCUAGCGUUGCCGUACGAUCACUGGGCGUAAAGGGCGCGUAGGCGGCCGAUUAAGUCGGGGGUGAAAGCCUGUGGCUCAACCACAGAAUUGCCUUCGAUACUGGUUGGCUUGAGACCGGAAGAGGACAGCGGAACUGCGAGUGUAGAGGUGAAAUUCGUAGAUAUUCGCAAGAACACCAGUGGCGAAGGCGGCUGUCUGGUCCGGUUCUGACGCUGAGGCGCGAAAGCGUGGGGAGCAAACAGG
rnacentral:rRNA from 1 species